rnacentral:rRNA from 1 species
AGAGUUUGAUCCUGGCUCAGAUUGAACGCUGGCGGCAGGCCUAACACAUGCAAGUCGAGCGGUAGCACAAGAGAGCUUGCUCUCUGGGUGACGAGCGGCGGACGGGUGAGUAAUGUCUGGGAAACUGCCUGAUGGCGGGGGAUAACUAGUGGAAACGGUAGCUAAUACCGCAUAACGUCGCAAGACCAAAGUGGGGGACCUUCGGGCCUCACGCCAUCAGAUGUGCCCAGGUGGGAUUAGCUGGUAGGUGGGGUAACGGCUCACCUAGGCGACGAUCCCUAGCUGGUCUGAGAGGAUGACCAGCCACACUGGAACUGAGACACGGUCCAGACUCCUACGGGAGGCAGCAGUGGGGAAUAUUGCACAAUGGGCGCAAGCCUGAUGCAGCCAGGCCGCGUGUGUGAAGAAGGCCUUCGGGUUGUAAAGCACUUUCAGCGAGGAGAAAGGGUAAUGUGUUAAUAAGACAUUGCAUUGACGUUACUCGCAGAAGAAGCACCGGCUAACUCCGUGCCAGCAGCCGCGGUAAUACGGAGGGUGCAAGCGUUAAUCGGAAUUACUGGGCGUAAAGCGCACGCAGGCGGUUUGUUAAGUCAGAUGUGAAAUCCCCGCGCUCAACGUAGGAACGGCAUUUGAGACUGGCAA